rnacentral:rRNA from 1 species
UGAUCUAGCCAUGCCGCGUGUAGUGAUGAAGGCCUUAGGAUCGUAAAGCUCUUUCGCCCGGGAUGAUAAUGACAGUACCUGGUAAAGAAUCCCCGGCUAACUCCGUGCCAGCAGCCGCGGUAAUACGGAGGGGGUUAGCGUUGUUCGGAAUUACUGGGCGUAAAGCGCGCGUAAGCGGAUCGGAAAGUUGGGGGUGAAAUCCCAGGGCUCAACCCUGGAACUGCCUCCAAAACUCCUGGUCUUGAUUUCGAGAGAGGUGAGUGGAAUUCCGAGUGUAAAGGUGAAAUUCAUAUAUAUUCGGAAGAACACCAUUGGCGAAGGCGGCUCACUGGCUCGAUACUGACGCUGAGGUGCUAAAGUGUGGGGAGCAAACAGGAUUAAAUACCCUGGUAGUCCACACCGUAAACUAUGAAGGCCAGUCGUCCGGUAGUAUACUAUUCGGUGACACACCUAACGGAUUAACCAUUCCGCCUGGGGAGUACGGUCGCAAGAUUAAAACUCAAAGAAAUUGACGG